UACUGUGUGUGUUUGUGUAGGCUGAGCUAGCUGUCCACAAGAAGAAGAUUGAAGAAGUGGAGAACUGGAUAAGAGUUCACACAAACACAUCAGAGGGUAACAUCUUGCUGCUGACAGGACCAUCAGGUUGUGGAAAGACAGCAACAGUCCAGGUUUUGUCUCAGGAGCUGGGCCUCAGGGUUCAGGAGUGGGCCAAUCCCACCAACCUGGAGCCAUACAGCAGCAGUCAGCAUGAAUGGAGGAUGAACGGCUUUUCCUUCAGCUCCCAGUUAGCCCAAUUCCAGGACUUCCUCCUCAAAACCAACAAAUACAACUGCCUGAAGAUGGUGGGUGAUGGAGGACCUACAGACAGGAAGCUCAUACUGGUGGAGGUAUGUACUGCACCUUCAACUGGAGCCACUGUUCUGUAAUUAUCCCAAUUUGUCAUUCCUAUUCAUCUUAGUAGCACAGUAAAAAGCCUGUAGAAGAUGUCAUGAGGAAAAUUGCACAACCAUGUUGUUCUCCCUUGUUUUCUGUGUUUUCCUCUUAAAGCCUCAACUAUUUUGCAACAGUAUUUGCAUUAGCUGGAGCAGUGCCUACAGAAACUAGAUGGCAUCAUUUUGUCUCUUCCAUCUCUGUUCCGUCUGCAGCUGUAUGUCCAUCUCCAACAUUUUAG